rnacentral:rRNA from 1 species
ACACGACUACAUUAGAUACCCCCGUAGUCCAGGGUGUAAACGCUGCGGGCUUGGUGUUGGGGGUCCUUUGAGGGCGCCCAGUGCCGGAGAGAAGUUGUUAAGCCUGCUGCUUGGGGAGUACGUCCGCAAGGAUGAAACUUAAAGGAAUUGGCGGGGGAGCACCGCAACGGGAGGAGCGUGCGGUUCAAUUGGAUUCAACGCCGGACAACUCACCAGGAGCGACGGUUACAUGAAGGCCAGGCUGAUGACCUUGCCUGAUUUUUCCG